rnacentral:tRNA from 1 species
GCGACACUAGCUCAGUUGGUAGAGCGCAACCUUGCCAAGGUUGAGGUCACGAGUCGAACCUCGUGUGUCGCUCCA